rnacentral:rRNA from 1 species
CAGCCGCCGCGGUAAUACGGAGGGGGCUAGCGUUGUUCGGAAUUACUGGGCGUAAAGCGCACGUAGGCGGCUUGGUAAGUUAGAGGUGAAAGCCUGGAGCUCAACUCCAGAAUUGCCUUUAAGACUGCCGAGCUAGCAGGUGAGAGAGGUAAGUGGAAUUCCGAGUGUAGAGGUGAAAUUCGUAGAUAUUCGGAAGAACACCAGUGGCGAAGGCGGCUUGCUGGCUCAUACUGGACGCUGAGGUGCGAAAGCGUGGGGAGCAAACAGGAUUAGAGACCCCAGUAGUCCCUGUCUCUUAUAC